rnacentral:rRNA from 1 species
GACGGAGGAUGCAAGUGUUAUCCGGAAUCACUGGGCGUAAAGCGUCUGUAGGUGGUCAAAUAAGUCAACUGUUAAAUCUUGAGGCUCAACCUCAAAAUCGCAGUCGAAACUAUUCGACUAGAGUAUAGUAGGGGUAAAGGGAAUUUCCAGUGGAGCGGUGAAAUGCGUAGAGAUUGGAAAGAACAUCGGUGGCGAAAGCGCUCUGCUGGACUGCAACUGACACUCAGGGACGAAAGCUAGGGGAGCGAAUGGG